CGCAUCUGUGCAUGCAGCAUAUCAAUAAGCGGAGGAAAAGAAACUAACAAGGAUUCCCCUAGUAACGGCGAGUGAAGCGGGAAGAGCUCAAAUUUGAAAUCUUAAAGGGUUUCCCUUUACGAAUUGUAGUUUAAAGAAGUGUUUUCUGUUGAGGUUUUGGUAAAAGUUCUUUGGAAUAGGACAUCAUAGAGGGUGAGAAUCCCGUAUUUGACCUUUACUUUCAACUUUGUGAUACACUUUCAAAGAGUCGGAUUGUUUGGGAAUGCAGUCCAAAAUGGGUGGUAAAUUUCAUCUAAAGCUAAAUAUUGGCGAGAGACCGAUAGCGAACAAGUACCGCUGAGGGAAAGAUGAAAAGAACUUUGAAAAGAGAGUUAAACAGUACGUGAAAUUGUCAAAAGGGAAGCGUUUGACACCAGUGUUGUUUUUCUGAAAAUCAAUUAAAGAACUGUUUAUGCUAAGCUGUUUAGACUUUAUCAGCUAUCUGUUUAGUUUUGAGCUUUUCUUUAAUGCACUUUUCAGUUAACAAGUCAACAUCAAUUUCUUUUGCUGUAAAAAAGCUUGAGGAAGGUGGCUUGAGAUUCGUCUUAAGUGUUUAUAGCCUCUUGCCUAUGCAGUCGGAGAGAUUGAGGUCUGCAGCGUAGAUCCUUCGGGGCUAAAUGCAUUUGUGCUAAGUUAUAGCAUUUUAUAGACAACUUGUUGACUAUGAUUUGUCUAGUAGCUUACUCGCUUAUGUUAUUUUACCUACGCUUAGGAUGUUGAAUCUGUGCGAGACUAC
rnacentral:rRNA from 1 species